rnacentral:lncRNA from 1 species
CGGGUUCAACGCAGGGAGGGUGUGGCGGGGGGACGUUGCCGGCGGCGGUUUUCAAGCAGGUGCAAGCCUGGCGGCGGUCAGCGGUGGUCUUGGCCAUGCGCAGGAGUCCCCUCAUCCCGUUGCAGCAAGCAGCGGUGACUGGUGCACGUCCGGUCAAAUAGGUAAGACACGGGGCCAUCCCGCUGCUCACUUGCCCGCAGGUCAACCCGCUGACCGUCAUGGGUGCGGCCACCAAGGCGCAGACUAGCAAGACAGAAACCAACUUCAAUGCAGCUGCCAUUUUGGUAAUUAAAUUGAUUCUAUGCGGGGGAUUUUGUAAAGUUGCUUUGGUAUGUUUUUGAAGAAUUGGUGUGCGUUGUGUGGUUUUUUGUGAAGGGUGGGGGGAGGGUUUAUAUAGGAAAAGAUGGGAGUGGGUUUAUGGGUAGUGGGUCUGUUUGGUUGGUUGGUGGGUUGGUUGGUGGUUGGCCCGGUAUUUAAUGUGGUGUCCUUACUUGGAGAUUUUGAAAAUAGUGACAUGCAUUGCAUUUGCAGAACGCCCCACCUCCUUCCUUCAUCAAUUGAUUUUCGUUUGGAAUAUUGUCUAGUAACGACAAGCUAAGUGACGGUGAUACUAAAAGAGAACACUUUAUUUUAUUUAUUGGACAAUUCUAAAAGAAUUCUUCUAAAAUUGUGUGAACAAGUAUGUAAAUGGUAUGAAAAGCUUCAUAUUAUAUUUCGAAUCUUAAUGCUCCCUAUUCUAUACAUAUAUAUAUAUAUGACUUACAACAUAAAAAUGCACAUACCUUAGUUAUUCUAUAAACUUCUGUUUGAAAUGGUGUAUUACUGAAUAUUAUAAAAGAAAACUAACCCUGGUGAGUUGUUGGCUAACUUAAUGACUUUCAUAAUAGCUUAUGUUUCGGCGACUACUUUAGUUGAGGAUUCAAGUAACUCUCCAUCUACCUUAAUAAUACAAUAAUUAAUGUACUAUAAUUCUCCAUCAAUAAUACUUAGCAGCCAAGGCUGAUUAGAUUCCAGUAAGUGAUGUUAAUAAAAAUUUUGAUAAAAAUUUUGAACAAUAUUUAUAUGCCACCUGAAUUUGUCUAGUUACGUGUCAAAGUCUCAUUCGCUGUUAUUUUCGUCCGUCUCUCUCCCUCUCUCUCUCUUUCUGGUGGCUUUUUCAAUACAGAAAACAAAUAUUGGUUGUUAAAAACGCUAGUUAAAAUGAUGAUAGCAUUUCAUAAUUGAGUUUGAAGAUUGGAUCUGAGAUAUUGGCGUUCGACGGCGACGAUCAAACGGUGUCGGUGUCUCUGCAGCGUCACGUACGGGAGAAAGGAGAUCAUGACACGGCAACGCAAUGGGCAAAAAGGUCCACUGAAGAAUACUGAGAGUGGGGGAUGGGACUAAAUUAAUUUGUGGUGUCAGCAGCAAAGUAGGCCAUCUUUUCAAAUUUCAAAGCUCUCUCUCUCUCUCUCGGGCUUAGUAACUAAAUGGUCCAUGCAUGCAAUCCCCUUAUCACAAUUUCAUUUGCUCCGAUAUGCGGGCUCCAAAUCGAAUGACACUAUUAUUGUACUGUACAACAAGUAAGUCGUGACAUUAUUCUACUCUUGGACACUACAUUAUAUUAUAAGGUCAAAACACUACAGCACGUACAAUCCGCCAACCUAACUUAUAAACAAUAUUGUAUGCAUAUUAUUAAUAGGUGAGUGUGCCAUACCAAAUUAAACCAGUACGUUAGCGGCGGACCCCGUGAACCAUAAAUGCAUGCAGAUGCAGUCAGGGUCCAUGUCCACUGCCAUGUGUCAACCUGCUGCUGCUACCAACAGGCGUACAGUAGUAGUUAGUACACCUCACCACGUUUCAUUUAUUCAGAUCUGAAAUUAAGCACCCUGAUACGCCGACCCCACUUCUCCUGCCGACGGUGAAAAUUAUGUAGAUGGGAAGUACGUAUUUAUUAGUUAUUACUAGGGCAAAAUAAAAAUAUUUAUUGUUCUUUUUACCGUCCUCUCUCCACAUUGUCAUUGGUUUGUCAAACCCACCUCCGAUCUGCUAACAUCUGAUCGUAUAUAAUGAUCAAGGCCCAAACCAAGUCUUAAAAAAUUAAUAUUUUUACCACUGUCUAUCACCCAUAAUAUAUAUAGAGUAGGCCUCCAACAUAUAUAAUCGACAACAUUAUAUUACACAAAUUUCUUUGCUAGAAUCUGAAUGUUAUUCUCAACUUUAAUUCAGGGCUUGUCCAGCUCCAAUUUAUAACGCAGGGAACGUUAACCCACCCCUAAAGCUAGAGCAUAAUUAACACCCAAUCCUGAAGCCCAAAUCUGGCCUAAAAUGAUUUCAGACCAGGCGAAGGCCCAAACCUACGUACGUACCCAGCGGAUUCUGCACUCCCAAUAUUUUAAUUAGCACGUGUAACUCAUGGCUCAGAGCUCGUACAUAACCCGCAAAUUCUACUUCAGGCUACAAGGAGAAAUGGGAUGGAAUUAAAGAAAAACGGAAUUUAGGUAUUUAUCAUUAAUUGAAAUAAGACGGAAGAAAAGGAAUACUCAUACACUCUGCACGAAUACGAUUGAUAACCUCAUCCGAUAGUUGAACAAGAAAAUUAAAACUAAACGAAAGAAAAAUUGUUACAAUGGGGUCAGAAUAUUUACCAUGCAGUUGUCUUCAUAAAAAAUAUGUGAAUAAGACACGUCCUAAUUUUCUUCAAAAAAUGUUAAACUUCAAACAUGUUUUCAAAAUCUCUAAAUAAUCACCAAACACACAACUCCAUCACUCAAAUAACUGCGACCACAAUUCUUUUUCCACCGUCCGCAUUCUCAAAUAAAUUAAUUUGAGGGGACUACUCAGUCAAUGGCUCACAAUUUCCUUUGUAAAUUGCAGGAAUGCACGUGUCCAUCUCUCACGCAGCUAUAGAUACAACAGUAGUAUUUGAAGAAGGGAUGAGAAGAAGUUGACGAAAGAGACAAGACAAAGAUGGGAGGAAGUGGGCAAGGAAAUUGGUCUAAUUUCAGUAAGCACACGUUCAUUCGACUCUUUGUUAAACAUUGGUCGUCUCAUUUCCCUGCUUCAAUUACGGCCGGCUGGGCUGGCUCCUCAUUUGCAACUGCAAGUGGGUGUUUAACAAAGUUCAUACAUAUAUAUAUAUAUUUCUUAAUAGUGUCAAUUAACUUGGUACAAACAUCCUACAAAACUUACUCCACUCCUAAUAUUAAUGUAGUAUUCCUACCCCAUUCUCACCAAUUUUACAUUCCACAAAAUCAACAAAUUAAUAACUCCCAAAUAUGAAGAAUCUCAAACACAUUUACUCUAACACAAGAAGAAGACACAUUUAGUUUGCACUCAUGCAACCAAUCUACCAGAGUCCAGAGCUCAGUAGUUCAACAACGAGUACUUUACUCUCACCACAACCUUGCCUUUCUCCACUCCCAGCUUCCCUCCAGUUACCAACCAAUGCCCCGGUGGAUCUUUCGGCCCUUUACUCAUCUCCGACAUGUCCACAAACUUCAUCAACUUCUUCCCUAUAGAGUGAUGGCUCUCCACCUCCCCUGAGCUCGAAUCCCCUCCUCCUGCAUCAUUGUUGCUAUUUAUACUCGGCAUUUGUUUGUUUACCUUGUUAUUAUUCGGCGAAUGGUCCCACAACGACCUUCGUAUUGUACAACCGGGAAGACGCGAAUACAGGAGCUUCAUGUACAAGACCUUUCUUGACCCGAAAUCCCACACUCCAAGCUGAGCUCCUGUAACUACAAACACCCCGAUAUUGUCGCCUAUGAAGCUUUCUGGGUUCUCGAUCGGUGCAGUGCUCACAUGGGAGAAGUUCUUCCACUUCACUGGCUCGAACCAUCGACCGUCCUGCUCCUCGGGGCCCCGUCCCUUUGGAGUACCAAAUGACACAGGGGGGGCGCACUCUGCGCAGAGCGGGUAUCCCAGUAGGGAAGGAGGAUUUUCGGUAGAGAUACUAAAUGCUGAACAUGAAUGCUUAGUCUGUUCUGCUUAGCUCCUUCAAGGCAUAACCGUAAUCCUGUUACCGGCUUCCGUCCCACUGAUAUCUGUAAUAGGUUGCCAACAAAAAAAUUAACAAAAUGGCGAAGUCCUAUGCUCUUUCAGAGUUCAGACAUCCGCAUUCUAACGACAAUAUUUGCUUUGCAAAGUAAAAGCAAGGAAGAUUUGAUGAGCAAGACUGGAGCAACAACUUGAACAACCUAGUUAAACUAACUCAAUCUAGAAAGAUGAUUUACGGGUCAUUUGGAUGAGUUAUUUUGCACGAAUGGUAAUUUCAAGCAAAAAAAUGCGGUAUUGGAGAAUGUGGUAUGUAUGAAGUCCGGGAGUUGUGGUGUGAGAAUUAUCUUGUUGGCUAAUGAGUUAAUUUAAUGUGGUAUCUGGUAAACGGAAGGCCAAAUCAGCCGUAAUAUCACGGUAUUCCAAAUAACUCCUCAGUCCCCCUACGAGGUAUUUGAAGUAACUCAAAGCGUGUUAUUCAAAAUAACUCACCCAAAUACCUCAUUUAAUUAGCCUAUUAUAUAAACUGUACGUAGCUUCAAAGUCUCAGAAUACCUGCUCUUGACUAACAUACAACUUCUGCCCCAUAAUGCUGAACUGAAGAAACGGACAAACAGGAUCCUUUCUCUGGUGGCCAGGAAUGUUGUCACGUACAGGGGCCCAGAGCCGCGGAAUCUGGAACUCCAGAAAAUACCUUAGCUCUUCGAUCUGAGGUUUGUCUGAGAAGAAUGAUAUAAUAGAAAGAGCGGAAGAGGAAGAAACAACAGUUAACAAGAGUAUGAACUUUCUAUUGGAUCCCAUCAGAAAAAGGAAGUAAUGAUGGUGAAGCAACCUAGUAGCCUUACAUUCAAGAUAUAGACCAAUUGCUCGAGCAAGGUGAUCCUUUCCAGGAGUAUUAAGAAGAUCAGUUAUGGGGACGAAAGUCAUAUGCACGACAUCUGGGGAACCCCGCACAGUUCUUGCCCAUCUGAUAUGGUUUUGCUCCAGAUCAUCUCCACCCCUCCUUCGGAAAAUGACAGUCACAUCCUGCAUCAACAUAGUUCAACAGUAUUGAUUUAAGGAUCCAUGGCACAACAGAUAGGUGAUGGAACUUAGUAGAAAAAUACUCAAAAGCACACCUCUUUCCCAGUCAGAUAUGUUGUGGUAGGUUGUGGGUAUAUCCCCUGGCUGUUAAAGAUUCCCGCAUCAGCAUUCUGGAAAAUUAAGAAAGAACAACUCCCUUGAGAUCAAGAAUCCAUGAGAAAGGAAAGAGAAAACGAAGAAUUAUCUGAGGACUAGCCUUAUCCUUGAUCUUCAAUGGACCUGAACUUGUGUGACCUUCUGAGUCAGAGAACCUCUGAUUUCCAAUAUCCUGGACAUAAUUUUUCAUCUCCAUCUUUGUCAAAGCUGAAGAUUGAUGCUGUUUAACAAAAAUAACAUCCUUGCCACCAACAGUCACAGAGGUGAUAACAUGUGUGCCAAAAGUUUCGAUAAAGCUGCCAAAAGUAAAUGUCAAAUCAUAAACAAUUUUAAAAACAUGAUAGUAUAAAUUUCCAUGAACCAAAGCUCGCCACGUACCUAGCUAAUGAUGCAGGAUCCCAGAAAGUUGGAACAGCCCGUUUCACAUUUUCUUGCAACACUAACGGUGACCUGAACAGUUCGACCUUAGCAAGAGGAAUGUAAUAUCCAUCCAUGGAGAGGGUUUUUGUGACAGCAGCAUCAAUGUGCUUGGAACCACUAAAGCUGAAUGCAGAAUUGAAGCUACCAAUUGGAGAACUUCCUGAUAGAUGAGCUUUUUUGUUGAAGUACUCCACCAUCUGCAAUCAUUCCUAGUAAAUUAGACAAUUAUAUUUUCCAUUUUUUUAAAAUGGGUAUUAUAACUUAUAAGCCCCAAUAAAAGAUUCUUGUCGGCUAACGAAUAGAUCAUGGAGGAAAAUCACACUUUAGAAUCAAGAACAUAACAGGGACAACACUAUGCAUCACAACAGAUCGAUCUCUGACUCUUGGUUACCAACUUGAGUUCCAGAGAGCCGAUCUCCAUUAUAUUCCAGCCCCCAAGAUCAAAUUUUAGGACUUGAGAUAUCACACCACUGUUCAUAUGGAAGCGUGGCAGAGUCCACCACUAAGAUAUUCAUGAUAGUCAAGUCAUGUUGUGGCUGGAAUUCCGCAAGCAACUUCUGUUUAAACCAACUUGAAGAACAAACACAUGAAGAUUUUCCCCACAGAUACACAUCCUACACAAGGAAAUUAAGCCGCCUGGCAAAUGGCUAAACACGGAUUUGAGAUUCCGCAGCUGAAACCCAAUCAUCGCACAAGCUAUAUGCAGCCGAACCUCCUCACAAAUAACACCACUGACGUACACAAGUAACCAACUCGUAGAAAUUAACAAAGAAAAUUAGAUACAGAAGAGACUGGUGUAUCUAUACCUCGGGGAAAGUGCAGACACCGGAACUCUGUCGGCCAUGGGAACCAGGGGAGUUCCUGAUAUCCCUGGAAACGCGAGGUACUACAACGUCGUCGUAGAGAAAGAGAUCUCUGGUAUGGUCCUGGUCAAUCUGGACAACCCUAGACCCGGCUACUCCUUUGCAGUACAGCAACCGUGUAUCGAAGUUGACAUCGAAACCCCUCCCGAGCGCCUGAACGGAGUUGAUUGCGGUGUGCAACGCUGCCGCAGUCCCAAUUCCACUCUCUCCCAUUUCAUCGCAAUACUUCUCCAGUUCUCUCCCCUCAGCCUCUACCUUUCCCUUUUACCGUAUGAUAAAUAAAUCACCUCAAAAUUUCACUCCACCAUGAGCUGCUGCAGCGUACUUCCUCUAGAUUUACGUGUUGAAAUCCCGGCAAUAGAUUCUGAAGAUCGAAACCAAUUCCCUAGUCCGUGAAUCACGGCUAUCAAGACUAAUAACACCAACCAACCAACUAACCCUCGAAAUACGAGAAGAUUAAGAAGAAGAAGACGAUUCAGAACCAGGGAACGCAGAGGGGUAAAUUCAUGAACUUGUUGCAAUCUGCAGGCUUCUCUGGAUCUGCAAACAACCACCAACCAAAAUGGAUUAUGAUAUCUCUCAACUGUACAGCUACCUUCUUUAAUUUUUUUUUGUGUUUUGCGGGGAGGUUUACCUCAACAAUAACUUUCCUUUUCGCCCCUUUAUUUGUCCUCUCUGUAUAUCUCCGGGGAGGGGACUCUAGUAUAGCAAUAGCAUUGACUUCCCAGUCUAUUACUUUGUCGAGUCGAGGGUUUUAAUUACUAAAAUUGCCUUAUAGUCUGACUCCGACGAUUUAAUUGACUACAACACCGACACGUGGACGGCUAGAUAAUAUCUAACGGUUGUCAGACGGCAAGUUGGAAGAAAGCGACAGGAUGGUCAAUUAAAUUAUUAAUUAACUAAAAGACCGACAUAAUCCUAGACUUUUACACGGUCAAUGGAAUUUCUUAAUACACACAUCCCCCUCCCCUCCACUCCACUCCACGGCAUCAUAUCAGCUUGAAUGUUACUUGAAAAAAGAGUAAUGAUAAGUGUAUUACAGGAAGUGUGUGUAUGUUUACAGCCUUUAGACCCAUUGGUUCACUUUACAACAGGGUCACCAAUUACCACAUCUUUCUUUCUUUCCUUCUCCCUUUUCCAUUCUGUUUCCUCUCUGCUGCUGUCUCAAUAACUACUAACCGAUUUCAUAUUAGACAAUUACAUCUCUUGGUGAAAGAAAGAAAGAAAUAAAUAAAAGAAAUACGAAAACAAAAGGGUCCUCCUCCAAAAAAAAUUAGCACUCACUCACUGGGAGUUCUUUGUCCUCUUGGCAGCGAAGAGUUGCUUAAGGAAACUGAACUUCCCCCUAGCCCGGGCGGAGAACUCCGUCACGGAGCCAUUACUUGAAGGAGUUGCAGCUGCUUCUGGUUCGUCUUGUUCGUUCGGUUCAGGUUUUAGUUCGGGUGGUGGCGGUGAGAGUGUGAAAAGGAAUGCGUUCAGCAUACGUAUGAUCUGGCUGAAGCUUGGCCUCAUGUUAGGGUCCUCCACCCAGCAUGACUGUAUGAUGAACGCUAGCUCUGGAGGUAUAUCAUCUGACAUGCUAGGCCUCUCUUGCUGCAACAUCACAAGUUCAUGGAGAUGCAAACAACACAUGAUAUAUUUUAUCUCUUACUGAAGCGUCAAUUGAAGCCCCUAUUUAAUUACGGGGAUGAAAAGAGUUUUUUUAGUCACCUUAAACGCGGCAGCAUAAGCAGCUUGCAAAUUUGACAUGCCUUCAAAUGGCAUGCGGUUGGUCAGUAGUUCCCACAGAACGAUCCCAAAACUAUAGACGUCGACCUUGUUGUUGUAAUGCUUUUUCUCUCCUUGCCGUAAGGUUACGGUGCUAUACAGCUACAAAUAAGCAUUUGCAAGUAAAUACUAAAUAGUGAUGUACAACCUCAGAAAAAAUGGUGGCAUCUGGAAGCAAAUCCGCAUACUAAAAGGAUUUAGCAUUUCAUUUUUCCAGCAUGUGAGCAAACGGAUUUUUACUGGCCCGGAGUUUCCCAUCCGUGGUACCAGGUGCUGACAACAAAUAGGUUCCAUUACGAAUUCGAUGGAUUUCCCUAAGAGACCGGCACCCUCCAUUCCAAUGGAAAUGUUAAAAAAAAGUUGCGUUUAUUGCGUCUCCAACUCUACGUGAUGAUUUAUUCAGGCAUGGUGACAAAACAGAGGACACAUAAAAGCCAAUCAAAUGAUUUGCUCACCAAGAAAUACUCUAACUUGUUAUUUUAAUCAACAAAUGACUUCCCAUUUCCUCCAAUAGACCAAAUGCUCGAAUUUCUUUGUUAAGUGGUAAGUGGGAAGUAACUUUCCAUUUCGCUAAAAAUAACGGCUUACACAUAUGAAGCAAUAUCUGCCUUCUAUUUUCAAAAGUGCAACAAAUAGUAUCUGUUACGCUAGACCUUACCAAACAUUCAAGUUUAGACCAUCAGAGAAGGCAAAGGGAUGCACUAACCUCUGGAGCCAUCCAACGGUAGGUUCCUGUCUCUGCAGUCAUCAUCUCAGUCACAGUUUCUUCCCUUGCCAGUCCAAAAUCUGCAAGCUUCACAGACUUCUGAUCUGCUGUUAACAACAGGUUAUCUGCAGUAACGAAACAGUAGAGCUUCUUUUGUGAGAAAAGAAAAUGUACAAGCAGUGAUGCAACUAUCCACAAUGCAUAUCUCCAAUUCAGGAAAACCUAACAAAAUAACUUAUGUUGAAAGACUCACAAACAGGACAAAAAGUGCCAACAAACGUAAGGUCUAUCAGUCUAUGAGACUAUUGAAAGGUGCAGUCUAAUAAACCAGCUUAACCCAAAAUGUCCUAAUUGUACAGAGUCAUACUAGAUACUACGAGAACAGUCUAUAACUGUUAAAAGAGUCUUCAAAGUACCUGGUUUAAGAUCUCUGUGUAUGAUCCCAUUAGCAUGCAGACAAUCCAAAGCUCGAGCAAUAUCAAGAGCAAAGCUCAAGGCUAAAGGAAGCUCUAAUUUGUUUGGACGGAUACUUGUGAGAUAUUUGCGUAGAGACAUCCCAGGCAGCAGCUCGGUCACAAUUGCCAUCAAAGGAUCUUUGCAAGCUCCAAUAAACUGUGAAGGUAAGAAAAUGUAGCAUAAAUGCAGGAAAGAUAAGACGUCAUAUAGAAACAGUGAAAGCAAAUAUAUAGCAUGAGAAGUGGUUUAGAAUAAGCAACAACAGGAGGGCCAUUUCGGAAGAACAAGAAAUUAAUUAGCAGACCUGAGAGGUGCAACUCACCUUGACAAGAUUCUCGUGUUUAACCCGUGACAUCAUGUUUACCUCGCGGGCAAACCGAUUCUCAAGCGCUGACCUUUCAUCAGAAGUGCUACCACGGUGGAGAACUUUGAUCGCAACAAUUCGUUCACCAAAUCUGUAAAAUAUAGCAUACCUAGGUAACUAACAGGGGGAAUCAUCACUAGACAACCAAGUGACCUUUAUCCUAAAACAAAUGUUUCUUCAUUAGCAUAUGAGCCUUCAACCCGCGAACCAUCCAAAGUAAUCUGCAUGUAUUCAGCUAGCAAUAACAAAAAUUAUACCAACAAAGAGAAACAACAGUGUAGUAGUCUACAAAGCCUCUCACUCAAUCUACGAGUUCAAUAACAACAAACUUUCUACCAAAUAUAAAAUGGAAUCCACAAGUGACGCAUAUAAUGAUAACAGUUACUGAUAGAGAUCUCCCAUUAACCAUAUAUUGAGGUAAAUUGGCAAUGGACUUGCUGAAUUGCCAUCGUCAUUAACACUUGUGUAUCAACAAGUUCAGAGGCAUAAACUAUGUCAAAGUACAGAACAUAAUAACAUGCUUCUACAAUAGCGAUUCCCUCAACUGGAGAAGAUAAUAGAAGUGUAACUAAAAUAUCUGAGUCCACUUGAACAGUAAGGCUAAAUUUGGAAAAAUAUUUAGUAAGGAUUAACUGAAGAUUUCCCCAGAAUAUGCAGAACUGACCUUCCUUCAUAGACCUUCCCAUGAGCUCCCUCGCCAAUUUUCAAUCCUAUAAACAACGAAUUAGCAUCAAUGAGACGAGUCUCGUCAAUCGACUGUCGUGGAGAUAUGAUCGAACCGUUUCCCGAGCCAGAUUUUGACCGUCUCUCCGUAGACCUUCCAACUGACCGCCGUCCGUAACCAUCUUCUACGUCUGCGCCUCCCUCGUUCCUCUCUCUUCUGCAGCUCAUGUUGGGAGCUUACUGCCUCAGACAAUACCCCGAGUUCCACAUCUGUCCAUCAACACAUGGCUUCAUUUCUCUCAUCCGAAAUCUCCGCAUAAACAGUCAACUAACUAUCAAAUUCCCCCGCAAGUCUACACCAGCGGAACAGUCCGCCGAAGCGACAUUCAGCCUCUUAAUCUCAAUUGGAGAAGCUCAACUCACAGAGAUGACAGUCAAUCCUAACUAAUAAGACAAAGAAAGAAACCAGAAUAGCUGGCUUCUCCUCCUUUCCUCGUCGUAUGAAAUUCGCUUCAACUGGAAGCCAGGCUUCGCUUGCGUGAAGCUGAGAAAGUGAAACCCUAGCGAUUAAACACGAGGUGAGUCACUGGAGAAAAAAGUAACUACUUAGAAUCGACGCUAACAACUUCUCCACGAGAACUGGAAUAAUAACAUGUUCCAAAGCCUGGAUACUGAGCAUACGAACAAGGAGUGAUGGAAGAAAGAAGCAGCCGUCGAUUCUCCAGCUUGUGCAACGUGCGGUUUAAGGAGCUAGUUGGAAACUGAGCAUCGGACAGUGGAGGAGGAAGAGGAAGGGAGAGGGGGGUUUCCGGCUAAGAUAUCCGGAGCAUCUGUUCCGACGAAGGAUUUUAAAAGUGGAGGGAUGAGAGAGAGAGAGAGAGAGAGAGCGAAUAAAGAGGCCCACCUUCUAUUCUUCCUCAUUAAAAAAGAAAGAAAAGAAAAGAAAGAGGAAAUGAUGUUUUUUGGUGAAAUGGAAAAAGCCAAUAAGGAGAAAGCACGUGGAUCCCAUAUAAAAUUAGGCUACUUUUUUUAGAUUAUAGUGUCAGCGAUUCGGACGUUGGAUGGAGAAGUCAUUGAAAAAAAGAGCUUCGACUUGGCUCGGCUUGGGAUCGGCUCGUGUGGCUGGCCUGUCCCCAUCUCUCUUUUGCAUUUGGCUCGUGCUACUAAAACAAAAAAAAAUUAUGAGGAUAUUUAAUUCCUUUUCGUAUAGCUCGUCAUCUUUGUCUCAGUUUUCAUUUUUUAAGUUUCGAGAUAUUCAUUUUGAUUUAAGGGUUUAUUUGGUAUAGGCAGGUAAUAGGGGGAAAAGAUUUAGGCAAUAUUAAAUCUUAUGUAGAUAAUCGAUUCGAAAUUUUAAUUAUACGAAAUGGUAAUUCCAGCCACUUACAACGCGCGGCGCAUCCUACGACGCGUCGCGUGUUGUAGGUAGCCUCCGACGGCUCCUAUCAAUACCCCUCCCCUUCUUCAUUUUCACACAUUUACUUCCUUCUUUGGUUUUUCGAUAUCGACAAGCAAAUUCUUGUUCCGCAAUCAACUAGCCUGUAAUAUUAGUAUUUCUGUUUUGUAAUUUUCUCAAUUUGUUGCCUACUUAUAUUUGUUUUUGUUGUAGGGUGGAUUACUUGAAUGGACCAACACCUCCGUGCGUCGACCCCGAGGCGAUCGAUGGAGAACUACUUUGGGGCGAGCAGAACCGACAUCGAACCGGUGAAAUUUUCGACAAUGAGGUUGGUACCAUUUGAAUAAUGGCUAGAGAAUAUUAAUAACGGCCUAGGGUUAAAUUAGGGUUGCCUUGUAUUAAAAAUAUUAGUACUUCAUUAUGCCGAGAAUGUUACUAACGAUCUAGUGUUAAAUAAUAUUGCCUUGUUUUAAAAAUAUUAGUACUACAUUAUGCCUAAUGUUAUAAUACUCGCUUAUGUCUAAUGUUAGAAAGAAUUAGUGUGCUUACCCCUAUUGUUAGAAAAUAUUAGUAGUUGCCUAAUAUUAUGUUAGAUACUAAUAAAAAUGCAUAAUAUUUUAAAUUUAUUAUUUAUUAAUAUAUAUUAGGUACUUACUUAGCGAUGUUAGAUACUAAUAAUCAUUGCCUACAAUAUCGAAUAUGAACCUAGCGUAACCCGCGCGUGUCGUAGGACGUCUCACACCCCCCAUACCAUCCUCACUUCCGCCCUUUUUUACAGGCUGUCGGACUCCUACCGAUUGUUGAUUUUACGACCCUCUCACUUGACCCGCAUCUUGUGAUGGCAAUGGUGGAGAGGUGGGGUCCGAGACGAACACUUUCCACAUGUACCUUGGGGAGUGCACGUUGACUUUGGAGGUCGUGGUGAUGUUAACCGAUUUGCCAGUCGACAGUGAUGCGGUCUCCUACCCACUCGAGCGUUUUGGCCGUAGAUGCUAAACUUGAUAGAGGAGGUUUUGGGAGCGAGGCCGAUGGCGAAUGAUGUCUUACUAACGGACGACUGCGGAUUGAGUGGUUGUACUUGACGUUCAAGAAGCCAGAGCGCAUUCCUAUCGGUGACGGUCGUACGUUGGGACAGUGCGCACGAGCAUACAUGCUGGCGUGCAUAGGGGAUUCAUGCGGAUAGGUCGGCUGCUUACGCCCACCUAUCGUACCUGAUGGUCUUGCGAGAGGAGAGGUCGUUCGCUUGGGGAGCAGCGGUUUUGUCUUGCCUCUAUUAGUAAGUAGGUCUUCUAUAUCAUGCAAAGAUAACAUGUUUUAUUUUUCAUUUUGCAUAUUGACGGGUUGGAGAACCUAUCUAUUAGGGUAGGUUCACAGGAGGAGCUCGGCCGAGAGGACACUGAGGCGGUUCGGCAGUAUCUACGUUCCAUGAUGUACGUUAGCGGAGGCUUGGAGCGUAGGCUUGAUGACCCGGGCGUCACCCACAAGUGGCCCCCACUGGAAAAAUUUACACGGCCUACGACCCGUACGCCGUUGAUCUACUGAGCCAGACGCGACGCGUCCGACGCCAGAGGACCCAUGAGGCUGAGUUCGUAUCGCGUCCAUAUGUACCCGACCUAUCUGUCUUUCGCGCCUCGUCGUACCAGCCAAUGAUGGAGCCGCAUCAGUGGUCCCAACCGUCUCCGUCGCAGCAGUGGUCCCAACCACCUCUUUCACAGCAGUGGGUCCCACAUAUGGGUCACGACCGAGCAAGCAUCUCGCACACAGUGGGGCAAUGAGACACAGCACCCGAAGUCUCAGUUCGAGACGAUGACCCCCCAACUAGCAAAUAGUCCUAUAUGGAGUUAUGGACACAGCACCGUGGACGGACCGUCGACCUGAGUUGUGAACCAAUCCUCGACAGGCCAUACGCGACACUGGAGACCAUCCCAUCGCAGAUCAUUGGGGCCAGGAAAAGAGGAAGGUCGUGGGUAGAUAGGUGAUUUUUUAUUGAUUGUAGUAUACUUUUCCCAUGUUAUGAUUUUAGUACACUAUUCUCAUGUUAUGAUUGUAACUAUUCCCAUUUUAUGAGCUGUCUCCUUUUAUCGUAAAAUGUUUCCACUUGUUUGUUGUUUCAACUUGUAUGAUUUUAUGACUUAUAUGAAAUUAAAGUAAUACAAUCAUGAUUACACACUCACAUAAAACUUAGCACAUGUACAUGAAGUUUAAAUUAGCACACAACAUAGGAAAUCAUAAACAACAAACAUUGACAAACAUAACCGAUAAACGUUGACAAACGUAACACAGCCUACACGUUCUAACGACAAUUUCCACUUUGAGUUGUUGGUCGCCCGGUUGUCCUUUGCAUUGUUGGGCAAGUCCUUCACUUAUGGCCUAAGGUGUGGCAUACGGGAUCUAACGUUGAAAAAUGUGAGAAAUCUCAUCUUGGAUCAAACGAAUCCGAAAGUGUGACAUUGACCGGACACGGUACAUCGCCUCAUCCGCGAUGACAUUCACAUUCAGUUGGGUAGAUUCUAACAUUGUGCUUGCUUCCGUCACAUGUGUGUUGUGGAUUCCACUGUCGAACCGUCCAAAAGCCGUUAUCUGCACUGCUGGUGACGCCUAACCUCCAUGAAUAGUUGUUGGGUUUGUAUGAAUAACACCUGAACUCCAACUCUCAAGUCUUUAAGCGAGACGUCACCAGGGCUCGAUUGUUAUGCAAGGUCUAGUGUUUGACAGCAAGACUUGCCUCCUUCUUCGUGUAAAACCGUUGGCCGAUGUAGAAAUGUUGACGGGUGGGGUCAAAAUUCGGGAUCUCAGGGCCACCCUCGUAGUGGUCAACAGUCAUCACCUGGUCGAUGUUGUCGCCCAACGUUGUGUACAGAUCAGGUGGAGUGUACUCACGUGGGAGGGGGGCACGAGACAAUGUUGCAGCACCCGCUUCGAUUAUGACAUCACUAUCCUCCCCCUUCCCCUUCCGCUUCGAUUAUGACAUCAACAUCCUCCCCCUUCCCCGAUGGAGAGGGCCAAUCGGCGUACCAUUGUAGUCCUCAUUUGAGGCCUGGUUAUCUUUCCCUUCCCCAUUUUUGUUACCCGGAUCGUACUCAGGUUCGUCGUCAACGUCUUCUUCAUCCACGACAUCGGCGGUGGGUUGUAUGCUGCACUGUGAGACCUCGUCAACAUUUUGUGAACAAGAAGGUUCAAAGUACCCAAUCGUUGAGGAUUGACCAACUAAGUCAAAACUCCAUCGAUUGGACCUUUAAACUCGAAAUAUAGCUCCACAUUGUUGCACAUAGGGAAGGUAUGUACCAUGUAGUAAAUGGCUCCCAAGACUCCUCAUCGGUGCACGGCCGGAGACAAUACCCAGCAAUAGUAUCGUCGGCCGCCAUAGGAUGACGAUAGUACACGAUCCGGAGGAUGGCCUCAACUGGGAUCUUCAUUUUCUUCAGGAAAAGAAGAAUGGUUCGGGCGAAGGUAGGGGUUGAACUCAUCUUCACUCUCCAAGAGUGACCACUAACAUACCCCCAUCGAAGAAUGACGUCGAACUCGACCAUUAUCUAUUCAAAAGGAUAGAAAGGAGAAGCAGAGUAGGAAGACUGAGUUAGGAAAUGGUGCUCAGAACUUGUGAGUUGUGAGUAAUGGAGGUUUGUACUUAAAUAGAUGGGAGAUGGUAAUUUUACAUCAGGAUAUGCCACAACAUAAUCCCUUCACCGGCAUAUGCCACAUCAUAUUCCCUCCAAUCAUCUGCAGGAUUCUCCAUCACAUUUACAGCUGGCAGCAGCUUCUGACCACGAGACAACUUUGGACCAUGGGCAGUAUAACUUUUGGUAAAAAAUACAGUUUUAUGCAACUUUCAAACACCUUGUGACCAAUAAAUACAGCUUUUCGUUUACUCAUACAACUUUAUCAUCUUUUGAUAGAACUUUCAGACAGUUUUGUCUUUUACUCAACUUUUUGCAGUUUGGUUCCAAUUACAUUAAUUUACUACAAUAAUUUGAAACAUAACCGAUUUAUUAGACACAACAAUAUGAAACAUAACUAAUUAUUUUAUUCAACGUUGCAUAAUAAGUAGAUGAAUAUUACAGAACCCUAAAUCUUCUAAACUUCAUAUUUACAGCCUUCAAGUCUUCAGUGAGAGUCUCGAUAUACCUAUCCUUUGACCAUAUGAUGCAUAUCCGCUCACGCUGCUAUUUAGAACGAUCAUGUGCCAGCUUAGCACGAAGAGCUUCAAUCUCAACAUCCUUCUCACAAAACUUCGCCUCCAUUGUAGCUCGCAUCUUGCGCCUCACCGAGUUCUCAACCAAUACCACCUCCAACUUCUUCUCGAACCUACACUUAUAGAAAGGACAAUUGAAGUAUUUCUCGAACUUCAGCGUCAUCAGUCUCGCUGCACGAAAUCCGCAAUCGCACUUCACUUCUUCUCCGAAGCAGGUGACCAAAUCCUUUGACUCGGGCCGACGAAAUGUUGAUAACAUUCUCGCUGGACUUACUUGAAAACAUUUUGAAGAAGAGUAAGAGAAAGUGAGGAGUAGAGAAAUUGGUACGAUGAGUGAGUUUUUACACCACAAAAUGCACAAUUUAUAUAGAGGGCGCGUUAUAGGUAGCCUCCAACGGCUACUUUGUAAAGGCCGGCAGAAAAGAACACGGAGAGGGUAACCAAAAACCGUUAGAGGCUACUUACAAUGCGCCGCACGUUGUAAGUGGCCAAGAUUGCCAUUUCGUAUAAUUAAGGUCUUGAGUUGAUUAUCUACGUAAUUCCCGAUUUAAUAUUGCCUAGAAAUUAUUUUUUUCCUAAUAAUAAGCAACACGAUGUAACUACUGACAAGCAACAAGAUUAAGGCAUUAAUAGCAAGCUAAUAUAUAUGAGUAGGGUUGCAAAAAUAACAUAAUUCCAGUAAUCAAAUUUGAGCGAACUUAAUGAUUACGACGGUAGAAUGGAUGUCGUGGUGAGAAAUAGAAAGAAAAAAACAAGAAAUGGAAGCCCCUGCCUGAAUACUAGUUGGGAUGAAGAAAGGAAUGGUGAACAAAAACAGACCUAACAAAAGAAAAAAGAGAAAGAAAACAAAAAUCAACAGACAGACAGAGGGGCUGCAUCGUGAUCGGCUCGGCUCUCCUGGUUUGUUUAUAUUAUCAUAUCUCGGCUCUUUAUAAUCCAGUCCAGUGGAAAACAUGCCGUGUUGAUCAGAAAUGUGACUGUACGGCCGCCUGUGAUGCCCCCGAAAUGACAUUUCUCGUCUUUUUUGUUCUAAAAUUUCAAACCACCCAAAAUUAUAGGGAUGACGUGGCCACCUCAAUUUUUUUUAACUAGUCAUCUCCAAUUUUAUUUAUUACCGUUUAGCAUUAUUUUCGUCAUUUUGUUACGAAGUAUGCGUAGAUGUGUCCGAGAGUCGUCCAAUCGAGGUUAAAGUAGAGAACUCGUAUAAACCAACUUUAUGAAUUGAUGAUCCUUUAUAAUUCGAAUAGUUGAAUUAGUUUUGAGACCGGAUAUAUAGUUACAAAAGCCUUGUUGUGGUAGCAUUUAGCAAUUGUACUAAGAUUAUCUAGGCUUUCAAUAGAGUUACUAGAAACAGUUGAUUGGAUGAGUAUGUUUCCUUUUGGUCAUAAAUUCAAAGAUCUUUUUUAUAAAGUGCUUCAAAAAACUAAUUUUAAGCCUCAAAAUGGUAUUUUCGGUUUUAUUUAACAAUUUGUUACGGUGAUUGGAGUUUCAUUAACGAUCGCUAGGUCCUCAUGACGUACUAAUUAUAUAUGGACUAUAGUCAAUAAUCAACAAUAAAGAUUCAAUGAUGGUUAUCAGGUUCUUCACGUCAAAAUGUUUCAAAAGACUUGACGAUGGUAAUUGUGACUCUUUUUUUAACAACGGGGUGCCAUCAAUAAUCAAUAAUAGUACCUACUAUAAACAGUUACAAAAUUCAAUAACCGGUUAUUAAAAUCGUUGAAAGAUUGUUGGGGAUGUUAAAAAAAAAGUAAAUACCCUAACAUAUAAUUGGUCAAAUAAUCACCUAGUGGAGGAUUGUAAUGACUUUUAAAAGAUUAUCUUUUAUAUUAUAGCAAUUAUUAUUAUAUAUAUAAGGCACGAUUAAAGUGGCACGUUUUGGCGUAGGGUUUGGUUUACAAAGUCCACACAGACAAACCUUAGGAGUGGAACCACAACUACCUUCAAAUUGAUGUGACCAUCUCCAACUUUUUUGUUGUGUGUUGCAAAUUGCAAUGGCUUCUAUUAUUGAUAUAUUGGAAACGUGAGAUUUUGUUGAUUUCCAACUUAAAAUUCAAUUGUGGUUCCAAAUUAUCGCCUCAAUAAAAUAAUUAAAAAUUAUAUUGAAGACAAAAAUGUAAUGAAAUAAGUCCUUAAUAUAUAUAUAUCAGUUUCUUUUGUACAAAAGAGUUUUAUAACGAAAUUAUGAAAAUAGCAUAACAACGUAAAAUAGACUCAAAUAGAAGCCGUAAGAUUUUGAAGAUUUUUUUAACACGAUUAAAUUAAAAAUUACGUAAACAGUCAAAUCAAAAUAUUAACUUAUAAAAAUAAAUAAUUACCGAACCUUAUACUGUGCCACGUAGGAAGCGCCGCACAUCCUACUGUGCGCGGCGCACUACAGCAUUCAUUUACAAUAAAUUUUAUAAAUUCCUCCCACCGUUUCAUUCAAUUUUAACAAAGGGCUUUUUUUCANNNNNNNNNNNNNNNNNNNNNNNNNNNNNNNNNNNNNNNNNNNNNNNNNNNNNNNNNNNNNNNNNNNNNNNNNNNNNNAGGAAGUUCGGUCAACUGAAAAUUGAUUUUAGGUGAGUUUGGUUGAAGUUAAUUAGUUACGAAAUCGGUUCAAAUGCAUUAAACCAGUUAAAAUGCAAGCUUAAUCCGUAAUCGUUCAAUUCAAAAUCUUUUACGGUAACCCGAGUUCAACCUAGAUGCGAGCUUGAUUAUUAUUUUGAGCAAAAUUUGAAAUCCAUAAAAUUACUAUUAUAGAGCCGUCUAAAUUACAGUUAACCAAACUCACAUAAAAUCGAUUUUCAGGGAGCCGGAAGGGAGGUGGGUUGACACAGAUCAUUAAAACUAGAUAAUGAAUCAACAAUAAAUAAAUUUGUUACCAAUUUGAAAUAAUUUAUUGAAAUGACUAGUAAUUCCUACCUAAUUCCUUACCAAAAUUGAAAUUUAAAUGGUCAUUAAUUCUUACAAUAAUGAGCACUAAUUAUGUAAAAAAGUACUAAACUUCAGCCAUAUGGUAAUUUAUUGCCACAAAUAUACCACAAUUAAUACCAUUUAACAGGGAAUUUAUUUUCAUCUCCAUUUUUUUUAAUUUGUCAUUACAGCCAUUUCUCUUCGCCGGCCAAUUAAAGGUGGCUAUACCGUCGCUGACAAAUCUAGGACGAGACAACAUCCCGUUUGGAUAGCCGCUGCCAGAAGUAGGCAAUACAAGUUAAAACUAGCAUAUCGAUAAUUUAAAGAAAACCUCCGUUAAAAAUCCACUGCUAUAAGGUAGUUACCACAAGGACACAAUCAGACACACUGGUGUGUAAUCUAGCAUAUGAGCAACUCAUAGUCAGAAAUAAAAUGCGGGGAAGCUUUCAACCUCUCUCAUAAUCGAAGAGGCCAUUAUUGAAUUCAAUCUCCCUCUUUUGAAUUGACGAAAUUGAAUUGUCACUAAUGGAGGGAGAUAUAACAAGCUUUUGUGUCUUUACGUUACGUAGAGUUUAAGUGACCUCUACUUUAUUGAGAUCAAUAGUGUAAAUCACCUCUUAGAAUCCAAUUUCCUUGGGGGCGAUGAUGUUGAACUGAUAGACGAGAUUGAUUUUCUUCUUGAUCUCGAGGCCUUCGUCAGUUUCAAAAAAGCAUUUGAGUUGGUCAAUAAUGGUGAGGUGAGGUCAGUGGCAGCUAAGGCGGAAUUUGGCGAGAAAGAGGAGGAGAAGGAGGAGAAGGAAAAGUUUGGGAUGAUAUUGUGAUUUGUCUUUGGUUUAGCCUAGUAUUUUAUCCGAUUCGUGUUUGAUUUUCUACAAUUUGGAUCAGUUGUAUACGCGUUUAGCUGCUGAAGGUGAAAGUUUGUUUCUUUUUCUUCGACUAAUUUUUUCAACAAACAAAACAAAGAUGCUCUAUUAUAAGAGAAAGAAAAUAAAAUAAACAUAAACAUUUUGUUUAGAAAUGAAAAAUCUUAUUAACAAAAUGGCACUAUAAGAAAUCAGAUCCCUAACAAGAGUGCGGUUAGAAUAAAUAUUUUAACAGCGGAUAAGUAACUGUUGUUAAAUGGGCCUAGUAUUGAAUAAUCUAACAACAAAUUAGUAUCUGUGAUUAAAAUUCUUAAUAAUUAUACUAAAUCGCCUUUAGAUAUCUAGUUCCUUGUAGUCUGCCCACUAACAAAUGAGGCAAAGCAAACAAAACCUGUAUAAUAAAAGGAGGACUGAAGUGGGAAAGUAAAGAAAAAGCAACAUGGAGAGAAACCAAUAAAAAUUAGUAUUUAUAUAUGAAAUGUAUUUGAAUUUGGAUUUAGUAUUUUCAUAUUGUCAGCACAUAAUUCAUUAAAAUAAUUGUUGUUCAUGGAUGAAAAUUGGAAAGCUUUUUUUUUUGUUUCGUCUCUGGAUGGAAUAGUCAAUUACCGGGAGUAAAAGAAUCCAUGACAACAAACCAUCAGAAAUUAUAUUAUUACGAGUAAAAAGAUGAUAAAACAUCGAACUUCGUCUGGCGGAUACGACUAAUACCGUAAAAUUCACUCCCAGUCUUCUGAAAAAUCACUAAAUUGAGAAUAAGUGAGAGGGACAAGAGGAGUCAUGGAGCAAUAAAAUGGCUUCUCGAUCUGAUCUAGCAUUCACAAACCUCAACCAUCCAAAUAUAAUGCCCUAGAUUUAAUGGAUGAGAAUACAAAGGCGAAAUUGACAUUUCAUAGCCAUACUGUUGUAUAUAGUAUGUAUUAUACCAAGUAUAAUAAUUUUUUUUAGAAACAUAAGCUAAAGACGGUGAUCAUGUGGGUGCCAAACUUUUCGUCAAUGGAGGUCGGAACCGUUGAGAAGUUGAUCCCGAAACUUUCCGGUGACCCCAAAUGGUUGUCCGGUCACCGGAGACGGUAGUCAGGCGAUGAGAGAUUGUUGGGUUCUGGUCCGAAAAAAAUAUUUAUAACAACACGAUUAUAUUGCCCCUAUUUAAUUUUGGCCCUUAGAUUAUGUGAAGAUCCAAAGGUCCAAAUUGGUCCUAAAUCAGAUUUAGAAAGUAAUGUCCCCAAAAAGGCAUCUCCAAGCGUCGUGGCCUGCUCUUUCCCGUAGCCUCCAUUAUUAUUAGCAUACAAGCUUCCCACACUCAAGCAUCAAAGCCACACUACCUUCAUCAUGCCGCCUAGAACACCAAACGCUCGGAGAGCCUCUCAACUUCCCGCCACCUCCAUCGAUAACCAUAUGCACUCCACAUCCGUUGAUUAGGUUCCGUGCCAAUCAUCCAUAAUCCGUAAGGCACGAGCUCCCCAAAACUCGCAACUGUCGCUUAAGCCGUCCACGGUUCCUCAAAAGGAGGGUGAGAUGACUUCCUCGGAGCUCAUCAUGGUGCACGGAUGGGGCUAUCGCUGACGGAUAGCGACGAUGAGGAGAUGUCAUUGAAAGAAGUCACCCCGACUCCCCCUCCAAAUUGAUUCCCUCUAAGCCUGGUUGGAUCACUAUGCGAUGACCGGAAUAUCAACUUCAAGGCGCUACAACGAACCCUAGCCCUGGCUUGG